rnacentral:ncRNA from 1 species
GAAUGGGCAAUGAUAAGAAGAGUAACUUUGGGAAGUACGUAAAGAGAGCUUCUGUUUUGGUGAAAGGGAGCGUAUCGGAACAAGGUGAAGAUGGUCUUGGAGCCUCUAAUCGGGUGAAUAAUCAGCUCGAUUACGUCAGCAGGCGAUAUUCUGCAAAGUAUACAAAGGAGAUGCGGUCACGCAAUCACUUUAUGUACUUUUUGAGGUAAGGAUUGUGAAGUCCUUAUGAAAAUGGGUGGUAACGCGAAGCUUUCGUCCCAUGG